rnacentral:tRNA from 1 species
GUUUCCAUAGUGUAGUGAUUAUCACUUAUCAGGUUUGCCUCACACACAAAAGGUCCCUAGUUGGAAACCAGGCGGAAACAUC